UGAGAGUUUUGAUUGUGGCUCAGGACGAACGCUGGCGGCGUGCUUAACACAUGCAAGUCGAACGGUGAAGGGAUCAGCUUGCUGGUUCUGGAUGAGUGGCGAACGGGUGAGUAACACGUGAGUAACCUGCCCCCUUCUUCCGGAUAUCCGCAUGAAAGUGUGGAUAAUACGGGAUAUUCUGGGUUUGUCGCAUGGCGGCCCUGGGAAAGAUGCGCCUUUGGGUGUUUUUGGUGGGGGAUGGGCUCGCGGCCUAUCAGCUUGUUGGUGGGGUGAUGGCCUCCCAAGGCGUGACGGGUAGCCGGCCUGAGAGGGUGGACGGUCACACUGGGAGUGAGACACGGCCCAGUCUCCUACGGGAGGCAGCAGUGGGGAAUAUUGCACAAUGGGCGCAAGCCAGAUGCAGCGACGCCGCGUGAGGGAUGGAGGCCUUCGUGUUGUAAUGAUAUUUGAUCAGGGAACCGGGUCUGCUCCUGAGGGUGNGUG
rnacentral:rRNA from 1 species